GUCCUUUGACUAUAAAACUCCACAUAGCCGUUUUGUUUUCUUUAACACACCCCACGUUCUGAGCGAGUCUUCUCUCAAAUCCCAAGGUAAAAUUCCCGACCUUUCUUCGGUUCAUAACAUGGGAUAGCCGUUUGAUUUUUCCAACUAUCUUCUCCUAAUAAUUCUCCAUUCAUCCUCAGACCCUCCAAAGCAUACAACUAUACAAGCAUACUACCAAUGACCUGUCAGUAACACCAUUUCAAGCGAGCGUGCUGACGAGUGACUUUCGAUUUUCAUAAUGGUUCAAACAAUGUCAACAAAUUAGGGAAAGUGAUUGAUGUACUGAAAUGGGAGGAAGAGCUAAUCAAGGAAAAUGUAUUUCCUGGGAAUGUCAAAUUUUUAGAGGACAAGUAUGAUAAUAUGCAGAAAAAAUUAGAGGAGUAAGAAUGGAGAUAUGAAUAGUAUGAAGAAGAGUGUAAUUUGAAAAGGAGAGUAAUCUUCUAUUUUUUUCCUUUUGUAUUUGCUGAAAAUAUUGUUGAAGCUAUUAAAAAUUAUGUAUUGAAUAGGGGAGAAAAUAAAGAGAAAAAUGUAAGAAGAUUUCUAAUGAUAGGCGAAGGGAAUGGACUUGAUUGCCAUUUUAUA